rnacentral:rRNA from 1 species
UACGUAGGGGGCAAGCGUUGUCCGGAUUUAUUGGGCGUAAAGAGCGUGUAGGCGGCCAGACAGGUCAGCUGUGAAAACUCGAGGCUCAACCUCGAGACGUCGGUUGAAACCGUUUGGCUAGAGUCCGGAAGAGGAGAGUGGAAUUCCCGGUGUAGCGGUGAAAUGCGCAGAUAUCGGGAAGAACACCCGUGGCGAAGGCGGCUCUCUGGGACGGUACUGACGCUGAGACGCGGAAAGCGUGGGGAGCGAACGAGG